GUGGGCUAGACUAAAGCGCCGGACUCAUAAUCCGGAGGUCGCGGGUUCGAAGCCCGCCCCCG
rnacentral:tRNA from 1 species